rnacentral:rRNA from 1 species
AUAAGGUGGAAACGAAUAGAGUUGGCGAUAAUUGAUGCGUAUUCAAUUAUUGAUUAGUGUUGAAUGUAUGGAUGUAGUGUUUUUUAUAAUUUGUUUUUAGUUAACGGUUCGCGCCGUGCUAGAAUACAAAUUUUAGAGAAAUGCAUUCCAUUCGUUUGCAAUUUUCAAUAAUGCAUUUACGCGUCUAUAUGCGCUGGAACAUGCGUAUUAGCUAUCCGUUCAUUGUACAACUAGAGGAUGGAAGUAAUGAAAAAUUCAUUUUUUAUUACGCUCCAAAACCGAGUUGUUGCAAUAAUUGUGAACGAUUGUUUUUGUAUGCAUGUGUAAUUUGUUUUUUUUACGUUAAAAAUGUAGUGUAAUUCGAAAUACAAUAGAUUUUAUAAUUUUUACAUAUUUGCGAAUCGCUUGCGAGACGUAUAUGUUUUAGAUUAUAAUAUUUAUUGCCAUCAGUUCUCACAUACAUUUUUUAUUCCGGUGUAAAAGUCAAUCAUCUAUUCGACCCGUCUUGAAACACGGACCAAGGAGUUUAACGUAUACGCGAGUCAUUGGGUGUUGAAAACCUAAAGGCGUAAUGAAAGUGAAUAUUGUAUAAAAAUUUUUUUACGAAAAUUUUUUGCAAUAAAUAUGCGAUCCAAUUGUGUUACGAUGCGUUGGCGCAGCAUAGCCCCGUUCAAUGCUAUAUUAAUAUGUUUUACGUUUAAAUAUGAAAAUAUUUAGAUAUUGAUUAUUAAUGUGCGAGCGGAGGUAGAGCGUAUGCGUUGAGACCCGAAAGAUGGUGAACUAUGCCUGAGCAGGAUGAAGCCAGAGGAAACUCUGGUGGAAGUCCGAAUCGGUUCUGACGUGCAAAUCGAUCG